UUAAAUUGAAGAGUUUGAUCAUGGCUCAGAUUGAACGCUGGCGGCAGGCCUAACACAUGCAAGUCGGACGGUAGCACAGGGGAGCUUGCUCCCCGGGUGA
rnacentral:rRNA from 1 species